CCCUUAGAUGUUCUGGGCCGCACGCGCGCUACACUGAUGCAUGCAACGAGUUUAUAACCUUGGCCUGAAAGGUCUGGGUAAUCUUUUGAACGUGCAUCGUGAUAGGGAUAGAUUAUUGCAAUUGUUAACCUUGAACGAGGAAUUCCUAGUAAACGCGAGUCAUCAGCUCGCAUUGAUUACGUCCCUGCCCUUUGUACACACCGCCCGUCGCACCUACCGAUUGAAUGGUUCGGUGAAGAUCUCGGACUUCGAUAUUUAUUCUUUAUUGAGUUUAUAUUGUGGGAAGUUAUCUAAACCUCAUCAUUUAGAGGAAGGUGAAGUCGUAACA
rnacentral:rRNA from 1 species